AUACUCACAACGAAGGAUCCCCCUCGAUCCAAUCACCCACCCACUGGGCCCCACCUUCAACACUGGGGAUCUCAUUUCCACAUGAGAUUUGGAGGGGACAGCAAUCUAAACUAUAUCAAGCACCAAGCAAGUGUUUGAACCUCUGAGAAGAGAGAUGAAGGGAUUAUACUGAGGGUUGAUCAAAUCCUUGAAGAUGCUUGGAGGGACCACAUCGGAUAUUGUUUCUGUAGCUUCAUACCUGAUAAGUUGAGAUGCGUGGAAACAGAAACAGCAUGUUUGUGAGGUUACCUUCUUGGACGAAACACCGUUACCAAGAUUCGCUUAGAAGGCGGCAAGAAGUAUGCUAGAGCUAAGUGUCAAGGGAAGGUUUAUGGAAAGUCAUUCAUGGAAAGUCGGGUGAAAAAGAACUAACACAUGUCAAGAUACCAUGUUUCUGUGUCUAAGUCUCUCUCUCCCUCUCGCUUCAAGACGAGUAUUUCGAGCAUGUGAGAGGAGCCAAGAUGAAAGGCACCUGUUUAUCAAGGUCACUUUCCUCUGACUGGCUCCAACAGUCUCUGAUCUCUUGAGAUUUGCUGUGAGAUGAAAAGCCAACUUACCGUCAUCCAGGUGUGCCUUACUUUAAGAGAAAGAUAUUGCAAGCAUUGAUUGAAAGACGUCUUUGCUUUAAAGGUAUUUGUGACAGAGUUGUUUUGGAGAUUUCCUGAGACCGUCUUAAAAAUUGACUCUUUGAUGUGCUCCUCUGUGAGUGAUCAUCUUAGGAACCAAGGGGGAACUCUUCGUUUGGUGUUAAGACAAAUAACUGGGAACCUGGAUGUGAUCGCUUGAACGCCAUAGCCAUUUCUGAUGAUUAGGGAAACUUGAAUAUGGAAGAUGCACUAAUGAGGAGAAGCAGCAAGGUGGAAGAGGCCUGUGUUUCUAUGACCCUGGAGCAGCAACAUCUGACCUUUGUCUAUGUUGAUCACUUCUGAAUCCUCAGGAUAUACAACAAUGUCAAUUACAUAAUUGUUGCUCAUUAAUUUUUGAAUGGCCAAAUAAAUAAAUGAUGUGUACUCUCCCGGA